rnacentral:tRNA from 1 species
GCCUGGUUGGCUCAGCUGGUGGAGUGUGCAACUUGUGAUCUCAGGGUUGUGGGUUCAAGCCCCAUCCUGGGCG